UUAAAGUGGAGAGUUUGAUCCUGGCUCAGAAUGAAUGCUGGCGGCGUGCCUAACACAUGCAAGUCGAACGAGAAAUUUCCCUGAGUAAUCAGAGAAAAAGUAAAGUGGCAGACGGGUGAGUAACAGGUGGGCAACCUGCCCUUAAAUUGGGGAUACCCCAUCGAAAGGUGGGCUAAUACCUAAUAAGACUACAACUACUCAGGUGGAUGUAGUAAAAGAUGGCUUUUAAAGAGCUUUCGUUUAAGGAGGGGCCCGCCUACCAUUAGCUAGUUGGUAGGGUAACGGCUUACCAAGGCGACGAUGGUUAGCUGGUCUGAGAGGAUGAUCAGCCACACUGGAACUGAGAUACGGUCCAGACUCCUACGGGAGGCAGCAGUGAGGAAUUUUGCGCAAUGGGGGAAACCCUGACGCAGCGACGCCGCGUGGGUGACGAAGGCCUUCGGGUCGUAAAGCUCUGUCGGGUGGAAAGAAAUAAAGUAGGGUUAAUAGCCUUACUUUUUGACGGUACCACCAAAGGAAGCACCGGCCAACUCCGUGCCAGCAGCCGCGGUAACACGGAGGGUGCAAGCGUUGUUCGGAAUUAUUGGGCGUAAAGGGCGUGUAGGCGGUUAAUUAAGUCAGAUGUGAAAGCCCUUGGCUCAACCAAGGAAGUGCAUCUGAAACUAUUUAACUUGAGUACGAUAAAGGGAAGUGGAAUUCCCAGUGUAGAGGUGAAAUUCGUAGAUAUUGGGAGGAACACCUGUGGCGAAGGCGACUUCCUGGAUCGAUACUGACGCUGAGACGCGAAAGCGUGGGGAGCAAACAGGAUUAGAUACCCUGGUAGUCCACGCCGUAAACGAUGGGCACUAGGUAUGGGAGGUAUUGACCCCUUCUGCG
rnacentral:rRNA from 1 species